rnacentral:rRNA from 1 species
UACGGAGGGGGCAAGCGUUGUUCGGAAUUACUGGGCGUAAAGCGCGCGUAGGCGGCUUUGCAAGUCGGGUGUGAAAUCCCCAGGCUUAACCUGGGAACUGCAUUCGAGACUGCAUUGCUAGAGUAUGGGAGAGGAAAGCGGAAUUCCUGGUGUAGCGGUGAAAUGCGUAGAUAUCAGGAGGAACACCAGUGGCGAAGGCGGCUUUCUGGUCUGUAACUGACGCUGAGGCGCGAAAGCGUGGGGAGCAAACAGG